rnacentral:rRNA from 1 species
CAGUAGCCGCGGUAAUACGUAUGUCACAAGCGUUAUCCGGAUUUAUUGGGCGUAAAGCGCGUCUAGGUGGUUAUGUAAGUCUGAUGUGAAAAUGCAGGGCUCAACUCUGUAUUGCGUUGGAAACUGUGUAACUAGAGUACUGGAGAGGUAAGCGGAACUACAAGUGUAGAGGUGAAAUUCGUAGAUAUUUGUAGGAAUGCCGAUGGGGAAGCCAGCUUACUGGACAGAUACUGACGCUGAAGCGCGAAAGCGUGGGUAGCAAACAGGAUUAGAGACCCCUGUAGUCCCUGUCUCUUAUACA